rnacentral:lncRNA from 1 species
CGUCCUCUCCCACUCGGCGAGCGGCCGCAACGCCAGGCUGCGCGCCUUCUACCUCGAGAGGAGCCUCUCAUCCUCCUCCUCCGGCGCCGGCGCCGCCGUCUCGCCAUGCUGACCAACAGCUACGUACCUUCGUCACCGGCGCCACCAAGAAACCCAAGAAAGAAUCCAUGGCGGCUGACCUGACCACCACCGAUCGCGAUCGAGCUACAGUGACAAGCCUCGUAUACCAAUCAAUCAAUCAUUCUCCCCAUGUAGUAGCAACCAACCAACCAAGCAUGCAAUGCAUCCAUGUAAGGCAUUCUGGCAAUAAGUCCAGCACAUGGCUUGCAAGACUGUUCGUCGCUGUACGCUGUACUGCAAAGUACCUGAAAUAUGAGUUAAUAUUUGAGGCAACUUAAUUGAGAUUCAGUCUGGGGAAACAAGAAGAUCCAGAGAGAUCGGCCGUGCUGGAUGCAUGUCUGGGUGUGCUUAAUUUUCUUUGCCGUUAUAUUGGUACUAUACCAACGUUAACAAAUUAAAUGGUGAGCAAAAUAUGAAAAUAUCUUAUUUGGAAUAGUCAGGAAUAGGGCAUAGUAACUUAGUAAGCA